GUGAUUUACUUAUUUAAAUGUGUAUACUGUGCACAGUCCAUGGCUUCGUGACAUGCUUUGAGUCUGAUGUUUGCAUGAUGUAGCAUUUAAGUCCAGUGUAGAUGAAGGAUCUGGGACUUGUUUAUUAUCACUUGAUAUUAUGAGGGGAGGGCACAGUUUACCAUUCCCUUAUGCACAGUAACAGAAGUUGGGCAUGCAACUCUACAGUAUCUACCAGUCAUCAGUUGUUUUAGACCAGUGACAUGAGAGAGCCACAAUUUUGGAUCCCAAAACCAUGGCCUGCAAUCUGAAAUCAUGGCCUGGUGUUGCAAGUGCUGCAACAAAACAACCAAUCACUUGAAAUAACCUUUUGACAGAAGUGUUGUUUUGAAAUGCUCCUUUUGGCCCAAAGAAGACCAUCCUUUUUUCUGGACCCUUGCACAUAGCUAUAAAAUGAAAACUCUCCAUAGUGAUGCAGUAAGUGAGAACAGUCAAGUUUCAGACUCUUUAUUUUCUAUUAUGUUCCAGUGACACAAGAUGCAGUCAUCAAGCUUGAAGGGGGUCAAGAAGUCAUGGAGUGAGCGCAAUAGCAUUGUCCAGAUGUGUUAUUGAUGAAAAGGGACGCUGUGGCGCAUGCUGUGUAGUUAUUUUGAUGACUGUUGCUGCAGAGGUGUUUACCUUCUCAUCCACGAAGACAAUCGGUACUUUACAAUUAAAUUUAACAAAGAUGAUAUUUUAAACAACCAUUUUCCACCACCAGAUAAAGACAUUGAGAAGCUGUACCCUCCGCUGUCCUGAACAAUGUGCGAGAAUUACUCAAAACCUCAGAAAUUCAAAAAGAAAGGGCAGGGCAAAGCAACAACUCAAAAACCUCUUGAUCCAUUGCAGAACUUGAAGCAGGAGUUUCAGCAAAUGGAAGAUCCAUCAAGUUCCACAGAACCAAACUACAACCAUGCAGCUGCUCUCUAACAACGCGUCCUUCAACAGGUGAUUGGACAUGGAUGACAUUUUCAUCAUUGCCAUGGCUUGGUACCAAUGGUAGGCAAACAACUGGGGUUUGAGACCGCAGAGUUUGAUUUAUGUAAAGCUAUCGGACAAUGAUUAUGGUUCGGGAUAUGAUUUGCUGUUCUCCAUCUGGUGCAAGCCCACCUUGUUUGAUUUUUUCUUGUACAUGCGUCUUUUGUCCCUCUUUGGAAAGUUUAAUGAGUUAGUAAAUCAAAAGUAAAACAACUCAACUCGGUACAUGAGCAUCCACGGACU
rnacentral:sRNA from 1 species